rfam:Schistosoma haematobium scaffold131_19, whole genome shotgun sequence.
GUCCAGUUGACGAGUCCCAAAUAGGACGAAACAUGCUUUGUCCUGAAU